AUGGCUGACAGGCAGAUAGAUAGACAGACAAAGUAACUUCGCUAUAAUUACCACAGAUCAUCAGGAAGCUCGACUAGUGGAUCUUGAUCGUUGUUUGGCCGCCGCAGAUUAUGGAGAGGAUUUUAAAGCGACGGAUAUGGGACAUAUACUAAAGAGCGAAUUUACUUUAGUUACGAAACUAUCUGCAGAAAUGAAGGCUAAAAUUCAACGAAUAGAAGAAGAGCUACCUAUAGAAGACGAUGCUAUACCAGAAAUGACACACAAUGUGUAUGGACUUGAUCACGCUAAAAUCAUGAGCAGGCUUCUCGCAGCCAGGAAGAAAAGA